UUUUUCUUUUUUGAGAUGGAGUCUCGCUCUGUUGCCCAGGCUGGAGUGCAGUGGCCCGAUCUCCACUCACUGCAAGUUCUGCCUCCCGGGUUCACACCAUUCUCCUGCCUCAGCCUCCUGAGUAGCUGGGACUACAGGCACCUGCCACCAUGCCCGGCUAAUUUUUUGUAUUUUUAGUAGAGACGGGGUUUCAUCGUGUUAGCCAGGAUGGUCUCGAUCUCCUGACCUCGUGAUCCGCCUGCCUCGGCCUUCCAGAGUGCUGGGAUUACAGGCUUCAGCCACCGUGCCCAGCCUCACCCAGAUGGAGUCUCAAUCUGUCACCCAGGCUAGAGCACAGUGGCGCAAUCUUGGCUCACCGCAACCUCUGUCUCCAGGAUUCAGGCGAUUCUCUUGCCUCGGCCUCCUGAAAAGCUGUGACUACAGUGCCACAUGGAUCAACCACCAGGUUAACCUACAGCUGAAGACUGCAAGGUGCACCCUCUGGUUCACACUUCUUUCCUAAGAGGAUUAAAAUGGAAGUGAGGAGAGUUCCCUCUGCGGAGCUGGACCUUGGAGGCCUCAUACUCUACCCUAGGAGAGACUCAUCCAGGAACUCAUCUCCAGGCCCAGGAGAAAGGGCUGGCUUCAGGACCAAGCAUUCCAUAGGAAAGCUCCUCUCCCUGCCAUCUGACUGCCUUCUGCCCACCCAUAGGUCCUCUUGCACAGGAGGGCACACAGACCCCUACUCCCCUGUGGACCUAGGGCUGAGGUUCGCUGUGGUUUGGCUACGGCUGAGCAAAUACUGUCUGUCUGCCAAGGCAGAGUCAACUCCCAGCUCUGAGGUUAGCAGGUUUCUCACCCUUUGAAGGACGGGGCCCACAGCAGCCUUCCUCUCCACUUGGUGGUCACCGGAUUGGAGGAAGACCAGACCCUCACAUCUUUCUGGGUUAGGCCCCAAACCACAGUCUGGAGAAUGGAAGCCAGACCACGGCCCUCUAACAGCCACACUUGACCACUCACUCACUGCUUUGGCAUUGAACUUUGAAUUAUGUUAUCAUCAUUCCUAUUACUAUACCUAAUUUUAUAGCUGGUAGAUAGGUAAACACUGUUCCUGACUGGAACUCAGAUAUCCACUUGUGGGCAAAGAAUGGUCUCUCUUGCCCAACAAUGAUGUCUUGGCAAUGACAUCAUCAUUGCCAAGGUGAUGAUGUCAAUCAUUCACCUUGAUGUUGACUUUUGUCUUUGGGGCCUCACUUUCCCCAUUGUAGAACAAAGGGCUUGGAAUAGAAACCCCCUGGUCCCUCUCUGUUCUGAGCUUCCAGGAGCUAUCACUCCACCAUCAAUGGGCCAACCCUUUCCUCUGGGAGGGGCAGAUGACUUACACUCCCCGUGGAGCUGACCCUGCGCCGUCCCUGGUCUUGGUUAUGAUGAUGAUUUGGUAUGUUUGUGUGUGUUUCCCUCCUGGACCAACCCCCGGGACUUUCCACCCUUCUGGUUCCUCUGCAAACAUUUGUUUUCAUCCUAGUCUAUGGAACAAGACAUCACUAAGGACCAGAGUGAUGCAAAAGACAAAGGGGAGAAACAUUCCUGGCCACCCUGUCUAGUUCUUCCUGCUGGGCCAGGGGCUGGUUAGCACCGUCUCCAGCCUCAGGCCCUCAGCAGUCUCAGGGCUUGCCAGGUGCAGGUUAGGGAGCAGCUCAGAGGUUGGCCUACCUUUUCUUUGCUUCUUCAGGUGACACAGCUCAGCGGAUGUCAGAACCAAAGGCCUGGAGAGCUCACACUCCACCCAACCCUCUCCUUUUGCAGAUGAAAAACCCAAGGUCCAGAAAGGGGACGCAAUGGCCAUAGCAGCAGCAGAGCAGGGACUGAAUCCCAAGGCUGAUGACUUUGACUUCGGUGCUCCAGCAUUCGUCUUCCCUGGAUUUCUCAGCUCGCAGGCUCGAUAACUCUCUUCUCUCCCCAGACUUGUUGGCAGGCAAGAGGAAUAACUCAUGUGAGUCAAAAGCAAUUUGCAAACAUAAAUAAUUUUCGAUGCCAGGAGAGGAGACGGUGGGAAGAUGCAUGGAAGGUUGAGAGGAACACAGUCAGCCCCAAGUCUCCCUCACCCUGCUGGGCACUUCCUCUUCCCACCUCGGCGCUGGUGGGAGAGUCGGAGUGCGCCAUAAACAAGGCAGGAAACGGCUAUCAUGAUGCUCACUUCCGCUCUUCCUAGAAGGGAUUCUGCUCGCCAAUCUCUCCACUCCCCACCCCCUGCCAUGCACAGGAUUUUGUACUCCCAGCUCCUCUGGAGGCUCAGAGGAGGAGAUGGUCCUGCUGCACUGGCCCAGCCUUCCUCUACCUGGCUUGUCUUUUUCCUUGUCCUCAACCCCAAACAGCAAGUGUCCUAACAAAGAAUGGAUAGCACACUAUUAUUUUUGUGACAUUCAUCUCAGUGUCAUAUUCCAAAGGAGCUUGACAUAAUUGUCCUGUUCCUAAUGUGGACACUGGUUUACGAAAGUGUGGUGACCACUGGAGACUGUUCUCUGACAGUGUAACAGGUAUUCGCCCCUUUCCCCAGGGUACCAAGACUCACGUGGCCCUGACAGCCAGCACAGUCUCUUAGGAGGUUCCGGAGGGUGGCAGUGGGAAUGAGCGUAGAGCUGUGUCAUUUCGGAGGGCUGAGUGCGUUCCACACAUCUUCCCAAAGCCCACCCCAAGAGGCUGUCUAAUGCAGGGGGAAACAAUGAGAAACCAGAUACCAUGGAAUUAGCAAAGAAUUUCUCAGAUGAAACAGGAAAGGGAGGAAAUCCAGAGGGGUUUACAUUACACCUGGCUCAGGUUGAAAGGAUUCAGGGCCAGUUGUUGGCAAUAUUAAACUCCAGGCUGUGUUUGAAAGGGUCCUUCACUCGGGCAGCCAAAGAGAGGCGUUCCUGCCAGGAUAGGUUGCAUCGCUGCAGAUCUCCAGCCCUACGUGCAUACACACGUGUACACACACGUGCACACACAUGCAUGCACACACAGACGUGCACACGCACACACAUGCAUGCACACAUGCACACAUGCGCACACGUGCGCGCACACGCAUGCACACACACACAUGCAUGCACACACGUGCAUCUUGGAUAUCUCUUGUUAAUGUCAGCCCUCUGCCCCAAACUAGAUUUGAAAACUUGUAGGUAAUCAAGUUUUCUGGUUAAGAGAAAUAAUCCCAGCCAACAGUUAGUAAGCUCUUAUGUGUCAGGCCUUAUCCAAACAGUUCACAUGAAGACCAGAUCCAAAAAUAAAAGUGUGC